rnacentral:lncRNA from 1 species
UGUGGCACAGGAAGGAGAGAGAAGGAGCCCUUGGGAUGGGGACAAGAAAAGAGGCAGGGAGACAAGUUAGGAAGUGAUGGCUGGUGACCGACUUAGACCUAUUGGCAGUGGAUACUGAAUUGGUCAAAGUCGAGUUCUGUUUUGAACCAGCAGGAUGCUAAUAUUUUAGAUACAGAAAAAUAAAUCCAGUAUGAUUCCUGAGUGCUUUCUGCACUGGAGUAAACUAAAUGGUACAUGGGUUCCAAGGACAUCUGUGUUGAAAAUAAAAACAUUGCCUUUCUUAGUGUUCUCAGUGCUAAAAGUACAGCCAUUAGUGUAGACAAUAAAACCACUCGGUGGUAUAGAAAAACUGAGACAUUUUUGGUAUUUCCUUUAAAAUCUAUGCAUGUUAAGAACACCAGCUGCUCUUCCAGAGGACCUGUAAUGAUUUUAGCUUCUGCAUGUCAGCUCAAACUGACUAACUGCAGUUCCAGGGGAUCCAUCUGACACUGGGCACACAUGUGGUACACAUGCAUUCAUGCAGGCAAAACAUCCUGCACCACGUUACUUAUGCACUUACAUGCUCUAUAUCAAGUGACCGUGCAGUCUUGUUCUGCAUACUUGCCUUUUUCAUCAGGGCCCCAGACCCCAUGCAUACCAAGCAAACAUCCUACCACGGAGCAGAGCUCCAUUCCGAAGCCCCACUGGUCUACAUUAAUUAUCAAUG